CAAACUGUCUGCUGAGAUCAGAGUGUUUUAUCCUAGGUCUGGAUUAAAAGGGAAGGAUCAGUCAAUUCAGAGCUGACAAAAAAACACUCUCAAUAGAAGAUAUUUAAUCUAGGGGUUUUUUGUGGAGGGGGGAGAGAAACACACACCAUCCCAUCCAAUAAUAAGGCUCACUUCUGAGUUGGGGUUGGGAUUAGGGGAUAAAAGGUUGUAGACUAAAAGGGGCAUCAGAAAACAUUUCCUGUGAUGUGUCUCCUGCAGUUGGUUUCCCCACAAGGAAUUCCCCUAUGUUAUCUUCUUUGCAGCUGUUGCAGAGACAAUGAUGCCUUUGAAAGAAUCCUUCCACGCUCUGCUUCUCCUGCUAACAACUGUAUUCAUCCUGGGGUCCUUUGCCUUUAGCUAUGAGAACUUCCUCAUGAAGCACUAUGACUUCCCAAGAAGCGUUGUUGGAACCCACUAUUGCAAUGCCAUGAUGCAAAGCCGGGGAAUGACCAAGCCCAAAUGCAAGCUAGUCAAUACCUUCAUACAUGACACCAAGGCUUAUAUCCUUGAUGUGUGUGGCAGAAAAGGGGUAACUUAUGGGCAUGAGCUGCGCCAUAGCAUAAAGAUAUUUUCGGUCACCACCUGCACUUUGAGAAGUUCUAACCCUCGAGCACCUUGUAUCUACAGAGAAAAUCUUUCUCCCAAAAAUAUAGUCAUUGCCUGCCUGGAUGGAAAGCCCGUACACUACGAGGAAGGAGAUUUUGCACUGGUGCAUGAAGAGGAAUCAUCUUAUUAGCAUUGAGGUAUGAACUCUUCUGUCAAUUCCUCUGUCUCCACACCUGAAGGCAGGAAAAGAAGUAACCGAUGGAGAGAUCCACCUAGAACUAAGGAGAAAUUUC